AGCGAAGGGAAAGGGUUUUGGAGCGAAGGGUUCUGGACGAGCAAAGAUUCGACGAGCUAGGGCUGGUGAGAAUGAACUGCAGAGCGGGAUUUUGGGUAAAAAUAAUUCGAACACAUUACCGACGGCCUAAGGCCCUUCGGUAUUUAAAAUCACCAAUGCAUUACCGACGGCUCUAAGGCCUUCAGUAAAAGGCCGCCGGUAAUUGGCGCUUUUCCUAUAGUGCACUGAUGAUGCGUCUGACGCGCUGAUUGGAGGAAAAUGGUGACGAUGAGUGAGAAGCACGGUGGAGCUUUGGAAAAUGGAAAGUGAAAAUGGUGCUUGGAAGGUGGCUAGAGGAAGUCUCUUGGACUCUCUAGCUGUGACUUUCAAGGGAGAAUAGUUUC
rnacentral:lncRNA from 1 species